rnacentral:rRNA from 1 species
GAUGAACGCUAGCGGCAGGCUUAACACAUGCAAGUCGAGGGGUAUAGUUCUUCGGAGCUAGAGACCGGCGCACGGGUGCGUAACGCGUAUGCAAUCUACCUUUUGCAGAGGGAUAGCCCAGAGAAAUUUGGAUUAAUACCUCAUAGUAUGUGAGAAUGGCAUCAUUUUCACAUUAAAGUCACAACGGCAAAAGAUGAGCAUGCGUCCCAUUAGCUUGUUGGUAAGGUAACGGCUUACCAAGGCAACGAUGGGUAGGGGUCCUGAGAGGGAGAUCCCCCACACUGGUACUGAGACACGGACCAGACUCCUACGGGAGGCAGCAGUGAGGAAUAUUGGACAAUGGGCGCAAGCCUGAUCCAGCCAUGCCGCGUGCAGGAUGACGGUCCUAUGGAUUGUAAACUGCUUUGUACAGGAAGAACACUGGUUCGUGAACCAGCUUGACGGUACUGUAAGAAUAAGGAUCGG